AGGCCGCCCGCAUGCCUCCGGCCCGCCGCCGGGGCAGCGCGGCCGCACCGCCCGCCUCAGACAUCCCCCGGCCGCAUCCUGCCGGCGCUCACCGCUCCACUCCGCCGCCGCGCUGCCGGGAGAGGGAGAGAGGCGCUCAGGGCGAGAAGGAGACUCCCCGCCCCUGGUGCCGACACCGAGGACAAAAAGGCUGGAUGACCAUGAUGGACCCUUAUGCACAGGCAAUCGUUUCCAAGCUGCUCAAAAGCCUUUCUCCAAGAUGAAUAGCAUUUGAACUUUGUCCAAUUUUUCUUAUGUGGGUUGCUCCUUUCCCUCAACUCACAAUAGACAACUCAUGGGCAAGAGACUAAAAAGAAGGAUUUCUGGCAACCAGACAAUUUUUUAUCUGAGCCCCAUCACUUGGAGCACCUCUUCACCAGACCAGAUGGUCUCGCACCCAUCAGGAGAUACAUGCCCCAGUAACCCCAUUGAAAUGCUCCCACUGGUUGAGGAAGCUGAGGCAUGGAGCCUUACUCCAGGUUACUCCAGGUUGCAAAGAAAGCUGCUGGAAAAAAGCAGGAAGCAGACUGACAUGAAAAACCUCCAGCCCAUAUCCCCCACCAAGGGACACAUCUCAUGCUGGGAACACAACUUCACCACAUUGUACAGGGGAUGGGUUCCUCUGGUACCAUGUAGACCCAGAGAGACUGUGGUUCUUUUCCCAGGAUUUUGUACUCUAUGAAUCAGAGAGAGAGGACAAGAAACUGAAGACAA